rnacentral:rRNA from 1 species
CCAGACUCCUACGGGAGGCAGCAGUGGGGAAUAUUGCACAAUGGGGGAAACCCUGAUGCAGCGACGCCGCGUGAGUGAGGAAGUAUUUCGGUAUGUAAAGCUCUAUCAGCAGGGAAGAAAAAAUGACGGUACCUGACUAAGAAGCACCGGCUAAAUACGUGCCAGCAGCCGCGGUAAUACGUAUGGUGCAAGCGUUAUCCGGAUUUACUGGGUGUAAAGGGAGCGUAGACGGUUACGCAAGUCUGGAGUGAAAGGCGGGGGCCCAACCCCCGGACUGCUUUGGAAACUGUGCAGCUAGAGUGCAGGAGAGGUAAGUGGAAUUCCUAGUGUAGCGGUGAAAUGCGUAGAUAUUAGGAGGAACACCAGUGGCGAAGGCGGCUUACUGGACUGUAACUGACGUUGAGGCUCGAAAGCGUGGGGAGCAAACAGGAUUAGAUACCCUGGUA